CCAAGCAUGGUAUAGUGGUUUGCGCACUGGACUAUGACUCUGGAGACCAGGGUUUGAAUUCCUGCUUGGC
rnacentral:tRNA from 1 species